rnacentral:rRNA from 1 species
UACCAGCACCCCGAGUGGUCGGGACGAUUAUUGGGCCUAAAGCAUCCGUAGUCGGUACUGCAAGUCUUCCGUUAAAUCCACCUGCUUAACAGUUGGGCUGCGGGGGAUACUACAGCGCUAGGAGGCGGGAGAGGCAAGCGGUACUCAAUGGGUAGGGGUAAAAUCCGCUGAUCCAUUGAAGACCACCAGUGGCGAAGGCGGCUUGCCAGAACGCGCUCGACGGUGAGGGAUGAAAGCUGGGGGAGCAAACCGGAUUAGAUACCCGGGUAGUCCCAGCUGUAAACGAUGCAGACUCGGUGAUGGGCUGGCCUUGUGCCAACCCAGUGCCGCAGGGAAGCCGUUAAGUCUGCCGCCUGGGGAGUACGGUCGCAAGACUGAAACUUAA